CAGCAGCCGCGGUAAUACGAAGGGGGCUAGCGUUGUUCGGAAUUACUGGGCGUAAAGCGCACGUAGGCGGACAUUUAAGUCAGGGGUGAAAUCCCGGGGCUCAACCUCGGAACUGCCUUUGAUACUGGGUGUCUUGAGUGUGGAAGAGGUAAGUGGAACUGCGAGUGUAGAGGUGAAAUUCGUAGAUAUUCGCAGGAACACCAGUGGCGAAGGCGGCUUACUGGUCCACAACUGACGCUGAGGUGCGAAAGCGUGGGGAGCAAACAGGAUUAGAUACCCCCGUAGUCCCUGUCUCUUAUAC
rnacentral:rRNA from 1 species